GAAGUCUUAGGGCCGACGGUUUUUGGA
rnacentral:sRNA from 1 species